AAAGAAACAGUUUGUUUAACAUUUCUUCAUAAUUAAUGUUUUCAAUCCCUCUUAUUAAAGGAGCACUAUAGUAUACAUAUAAAAGCAAGAAAGAAAGGUACCCUAGCCUUCUUUUUUGCUUUUAUAUUAACUUCCCCUUAUUAAAAAUGGAUUUAGAGUCCUUAUUAUAGAUAAAACUUACCUCUGUUCCAGCGCUGAGCUCCUUGGCAGGCCGUGCCCCC